UACGAAGGGGGCUAGCGUUGUUCGGAAUCACUGGGCGUAAAGCGCACGUAGGCGGAUGUGCCAGUCAGGGGUGAAAUCCCGGAGCUCAACUUCGGAACUGCCUCUGAUACAGCACGUCUUGAGUCCGGAAGAGGUGGGUGGAACUGCGAGUGUAGAGGUGAAAUUCGUAGAUAUUCGCAAGAACACCAGUGGCGAAGGCGGCUCACUGGCCCGGUACUGACGCUGAGGUGCGAAAGCGUGGGGAGCAAACAGG
rnacentral:rRNA from 1 species